ACCUGAAAUCCACCGCAAGUUGUAGUUCCUCGUUCUAAUAGUACUUUUUAAAUAAUCACUUAGAGUGUAAGUCCUGCGAGUAUCAGCAUCAUCUAAAAUAUUAUCUCUGCUCAGCCAGAAG